rnacentral:lncRNA from 1 species
GGACCUAUGGGGCACCCUGAAACCACCAACACGUCCAAGAAUCUAUGGGGUACCCCAAAACUGCCAACACAUUGAUGGACCUAUGGGGAGCCCCGAAACCAACCACGGACCUAUGGGGCACCCCGAAACCGCCAACUUCUCCACGGACCUGUGGGGCACCCCAAAACCACCAACACAUCCAAGAAUCUAUGGGGCACCCCAAAACCACCACACAUUGAUGGACCUAUGGGGAACCCCGAAACCAACCACGGACCUAUGGGGCACCCCGAAACCACCAACUUCUCUAUGGACCUAUGGGGCACCCCAGAACCACCAACUUCUCCAUGGACCUAUGGGGCACCCCGAAACCACCACACUUUGAUGGACCUAUGGGGAGCCCCGAAAGCAACCACGGACCUAUGGGGCACCCCGAAACCGCCAACUUCUCUAUGGACCUAUGGGGCACCCCAAAACCACCAACUUCUCCAUGGACCUAUGGGGCACCCCAAAACCACCAACACGUCCAAGGACCUAUGGGGUACCCCAAAACCGCCAACUUCUCCAUGGACUUAAGGGGCACCCUGAAACCGCCAACACAUUGAUGGACCUAUGGGGUGCCCCAAAACCAACCAUGGCCCUAUGGGGCACCCCGAAACUGCCAACUUCUCUAUGGAGCUAUGAGGAACCCCCAAACCACCAACUUCUCCAUGGACCUAUGGGGCACCCCAAAACCACCAACCCAUCCAAGAAUCUAUGGGGUACCCCAAAACCACCACACAUUGAUGGAUCUAUGGGAGCCCCGAAACCAACCGCGGACCUAUGGGGCACCCCAAAACCACCAACGUGUCCAAGGACCUAUGGGGCACCCCAAAACCACCACACUUUGAUGGACCUAUGGGGUACCCCAAAACCACCACACAUUGAUGGACCUAUGGGGAGCCCCGAAACAAACCAUGGCCCUAUGGGGCACCCCGAAACUGCCAACUUCUCUAUGGAGCUAUG